rnacentral:rRNA from 1 species
AUUGAACGCUGGCGGCAGGCCUAAUACAUGCAAGUCGAACGAGUGGCGGACGGGUGAGUAACGUCUGGGAAACUGCCUGAUGGAUGGGGAUACUUACUGGAAACGGUAGCUAAUACCGCAUACCAUUGGAUGUGCCCAGAUGGGAUUAGCUAGUAGGUGGGGUAAAGGCUCACCUAGGCGACGAUCCCUAGCUGGUCUGAGAGGGUGACCAGCCACACUGGAACUGAGACACGGUCCAGACUCCUACGGGAGGCAGCAGUGGGGAAUAUUGCACAAUGGGCGCAAGCCUGAUGCAGCCAUGCCGCAUGUAUGAAGAAGGCCUUCGGGUUGUAAAGUACUUUCAGCGGGGAGGCGUUACCCGCAGAAGAAGCACCGGCUAACUCCGUGCCAGCAGCCGCGGUAAUAC